ACGAACGCUGGCGGCGUGCUUAACACCUGCAAGUCGAACGGAAAGGCCCUGCUUUUGUGGGGUGCUCGAGUGGCGAACGGGUGAGUAACACGUGAGUAACCUGCCCUUGACUUUGGGAUAACUUCAGGAAACUGGGGCUAAUACCGGAUAGGAGCUCCUGCUGCAUGGUGGGGGUUGGAAAGUUUCGGCGGUUGGGGAUGGACUCGCGGCUUAUCAGCUUGUUGGUGAGGUAGUGGCUUACCAAGGCUUUGACGGGUAGCCGGCCUGAGAGGGUGACCGGCCACAUUGGGACUGAGAUACGGCCCAGACUCCUACGGGAGGCAGCAGUGGGGAAUAUUGCACAAUGGGCGGAAGCCUGAUGCAGCAACGCCGCGUGCGGGAUGACGGCCUUCGGGUUGUAAACCGCUUUCGCCUGUGACGAAGCGUGAGUGACGGUAAUGGGUAAAGAAGCACCGGCUAACUACGUG
rnacentral:rRNA from 1 species